UGCGUACCUUUUGUAUAAUGGGUCAGCGACUUAUAUUCUGUAGCAAGGUUAACCGAAUAGGGGAGCCGGAGGGAAACCGAGUCUUAAUUGGGCGUUAAGUUGCAGGGUAUAGACCCGAAACCCGGUGAUCUAGCCAUGGGCAGGUUGAAGGUUGGGUAACACUAACUGGAGGACCGAACCGACUAAUGUUGAAAAAUUAGCGGAUGACCUGUGGCUGGGGGUGAAAGGCCAAUCAAACCGGGAGAUAGCUGGUUCUCCCCGAAAGCUAUUUAGGUAGCGCCUCGUGAAUUCAUCUCCGGGGGUAGAGCACUGUUUCGGCUAGGGGGCCAUCCCGGCUUACCAACCCGAUGCAAACUGCGAAUACCGGAGAAUGUUAUCACGGGAGACACACGGCGGGUGCUAACGUCCGUCGUGAAGAGGGAAACAACCCAGACCGCCAGCUAAGGUCCCAAAGUCAUGGUUAAGUGGGAAACGAUGUGGGAAGGCCCAGACAGCCAGGAUGUUGGCUUAGAAGCAGCCAUCAUUUAAAGAAAGCGUAAUAGCUCACUGGUCGAGUCGGCCUGCGCGGAAGAUGUAACGGGGCUAAACCAUGCACCGAAGCUGCGGCAGCGAACGUAUCACCCAAGACAACUUUACGGAGUUGACGAUUGACGGAGCGAAGCGACGUCAAAGCGUUCAUUAAAGUCGAGUUGGCUUAGGGAUACGUUCGUUGGGUAGGGGAGCGUUCUGUAAGCCUGUGAAGGUGUGUCGUGAGGCAUGCUGGAGGUAUCAGAAGUGCGAAUGCUGACAUAAGUAACGAUAAAGCGGGUGAAAAGCCCGCUCGCCGGAAGACCAAGGGUUCCUGUCCAACGUUAAUCGGGGCAGGGUGAGUCGACCCCUAAGGCGAGGCCGAAAGGCGUAGUCGAUGGGAAACGGGUUAAUAUUCCCGUACUUGGUGUUACUGCGAAGGGGGGACGGAGAAGGCUAUGUUGGCCGGGCGACGGUUGUCCCGGUUUAAGCGUGUAGGUGUGUGUUCCAGGUAAAUCCGGUUCACUUUAACACUGAGGCGUGACGACGAGGCACUACGGUGCUGAAGCAACAAAUGCCCUGCUUCCAGGAAAAGCCUCUAAGCAUCAGGUAACAUCAAAUCGUACCCCAAACCGACACAGGUGGUCAGGUAGAGAAUACCAAGGCGCUUGAGAGAACUCGGGUGAAGGAACUAGGCAAAAUGGUGCCGUAACUUCGGGAGAAGGCACGCUGACACGUAGGUGAAGUGAUUUACUCAUGGAGCUGAAGUCAGUCGAAGAUACCAGCUGGCUGCAACUGUUUAUUAAAAACACAGCACUGUGCAAACACGAAAGUGGACGUAUACGGUGUGACGCCUGCCCGGUGCCGGAAGGUUAAUUGAUGGGGUCAGCGCAAGCGAAGCUCCUGAUCGAAGCCCCGGUAAACGGCGGCCGUAACUAUAACGGUCCUAAGGUAGCGAAAUUCCUUGUCGGGUAAGUUCCGACCUGCACGAAUGGCGUAAUGAUGGCCAGGCUGUCUCCACCCGAGACUCAGUGAAAUUGAACUCGCUGUGAAGAUGCAGUGUACCCGCGGCAAGACGGAAAGACCCCGUGAACCUUUACUAUAGCUUGACACUGAACAUUGAGCCUUGAUGUGUAGGAUAGGUGGGAGGCUUUGAAGUGUGGACGCCAGUCUGCAUGGAGCCGACCUUGAAAUACCACCCUUUAAUGUUUGAUGUUCUAACGUGGACCCGUAAUCCGGGUUGCGGACAGUGUCUGGUGGGUAGUUUGACUGGGGCGGUCUCCUCCUAAAGAGUAACGGAGGAGCACGAAGGUUGGCUAAUCCUGGUCGGACAUCAGGAGGUUAGUGCAAUGGCAUAAGCCAGCUUGACUGCGAGCGUGACGGCGCGAGCAGGUGCGAAAGCAGGUCAUAGUGAUCCGGUGGUUCUGAAUGGAAGGGCCAUCGCUCAACGGAUAAAAGGUACUCCGGGGAUAACAGGCUGAUACCGCCCAAGAGUUCAUAUCGACGGCGGUGUUUGGCACCUCGAUGUCGGCUCAUCACAUCCUGGGGCUGAAGUAGGUCCCAAGGGUAUGGCUGUUCGCCAUUUAAAGUGGUACGCGAGCUGGGUUUAGAACGUCGUGAGACAGUUCGGUCCCUAUCUGCCGUGGGCGCUGGAGAACUGAGGGGGGCUGCUCCUAGUACGAGAGGACCGGAGUGGACGCAUCACUGGUGUUCGGGUUGUCAUGCCAAUGGCACUGCCCGGUAGCUAAAUGCGGAAGAGAUAAGUGCUGAAAGCAUCUAAGCACGAAACUUGCCCCGA
rnacentral:rRNA from 1 species